rnacentral:rRNA from 1 species
CUACGGGAUGCACCAGUGGGGAAUCUUGCGCAAUGGGCGAAAGCCUGACGCAGCAACGCCGCGUGCGGGAAGAAGGCUUUCGGGCUGUAAACCGCUUUCAGCAGGAACGAAAAUGACGGUACCUGCAGAAGAAGGAGCGGCCAACUAUGUGCCAGCAGCCGCGGUGAUACAUAGGCUUCAAGCGUUGUCCGGAUUUAUUGGGCGUAAAGAGUUCGUAGGCGGUCGAGUAAGUCGGGUGUGAAAAUUCUGGGCUCAACCCAGAGACGCCACCCGAUACUGCUCAACUUGAGUUCGAUAGGGGAGUGGGGAAUUCCUAGUGUAGCGGUGAAAUGCGCAGAUAUUAGGAGGAACACCGGUGGCGAAGGCGCCACUCUGGAUCGACACUGACGCUGAGGAACGAAAGCAUGGGUAGCAAACAGGAUUAGAUACCCGUGUAGUC